rnacentral:rRNA from 1 species
AUUGAACGCUGGCGGCAGGCUUAACACAUGCAAGUCGAGCGGGGUGAUGGUGCUUGCACUAUCACUUAGCGGCGGACGGGUGAGUAAUGCUUAGGAAUCUGCCUAUUAGUGGGGGACAACAUCUCGAAAGGGAUGCUAAUACCGCAUACGUCCUACGGGAGAAAGCAGGGGAUCACUUGUGACCUUGCGCUAAUAGAUGAGCCUAAGUCGGAUUAGCUAGUUGGUGGGGUAAAGGCCUACCAAGGCGACGAUCUGUAGCGGGUCUGAGAGGAUGAUCCGCCCCACUGGGACUGAGACACGGCCCAGACUCCUACCGGAGGCAGCAGUGGGGAAUAUUGGACAAUGGGGGGAACCCUGAUCCAGCCAUGCCGCGUGUGUGAAGAAGGCCUUAUGGUUGUAAAGCACUUUAAGCGAGGAGGAGGCUCUUUUGGUUAAUACCCAAGAUGAGUGGACGUUACUCGCAGAAUAAGCACCGGCUAACUCUGUGCCAGCCGCCGCAGUAA